rnacentral:rRNA from 1 species
UACGUAGGGUGCGAGCGUUAAUCGGAAUUACUGGGCGUAAAGCGUGCGCAGGCGGUGAUGUAAGACCGAUGUGAAAUCCCCGGGCUUAACCUGGGAACUGCAUUGGUGACUGCAUUGCUGGAGUAUGGCAGAGGGGGAUGGAAUUCCGCGUGUAGCAGUGAAAUGCGUAGAUAUGCGGAGGAACACCGAUGGCGAAGGCAAUCCCCUGGGCCUGCACUGACGCUCAUGCACGAAAGCGUGGGGAG